UACGUAGGGUGCAAGCGUUGUCCGGAAUUAUUGGGCGUAAAGAGCUCGUAGGCGGUUCGUCGCGUCGGCUGUGAAAACCCGGAGCUCAACUCCGGGCCUGCAGUCGAUACGGGCGGACUUGAGUGUUGCAGGGGAGACUGGAAUUCCUGGUGUAGCGGUGGAAUGCGCAGAUAUCAGGAGGAACACCGGUGGCGAAGGCGGGAUCCUGGGCCAGUACUGACGCUGAGGAGCGAAAGCGUGGGGAGCAAACAGG
rnacentral:rRNA from 1 species